rnacentral:lncRNA from 1 species
ACACGCGGCGCCCCAUUAAAGCGGCCGUCCCGGGCGCGCGCCUCAUUCGAGGCGACGGGCUCCGGGCCCUGAUAGAUGGGGUGCGGGGACGGAGACAAAUGACGGCCUUUGGGCUCGGAAUACCCACCUUUCUGGUAAUGCAGCCCAGCGGGUCCCAGCCUCGUUUUCCAGCCCUCACUCAAAAUGGAGUCGCUCUGGUUCGAACGCCUCUGACAAGUGUGUACCUACGUGUCAGGCCCAUCCUUCCUGCAGGCCUUUGUCUUGGUGUCACCCUGCCUGAGCUGGCCCCAACCACAGUAGCAACAGUGAUGCUGAUGUGUGACUGCUGCCAGGAGCCUGCUCACAUGACCGUGUGGAGAAAGUUCUUUCCCUGAGGACCAUCUGGAGUGGACGCGUGCACUACCCCUCUCUGAAUACACCCUCCCCACGAGGCCCUCUGGAGCAUCCUGUAGAGCCAGCCCCUACCCAGAGACCCUGAGCCCAGAGAAUGCGCUGGGUGGUGAGCCUGGGGACGAAUGCAGAGCCCUAGGUCUCCUCUCCAGAAAGACCGGAUUUUGCCAUGUUGGCCAGGCUGGUCUUGAACUCCUGACCUCAAGUGAUCCACCUGCCUCGGCCUCCCAAAGUGCAGGGAUUACAGGUGUGAGCCACUGCACCCGGCCUCAGGCAGGUAUUUUUACCAGCCGAAUACUCUUGCACUGUGCACUCUUCGUGUUCAUCAUCAGUCCCCCGGAUGGGUGUUUAAGGCAUUUCCAAAGCUCUGUUAUUAAAAACACGAUGCAAUGA